GCCUUCUCAGGGUCACACCUGGAGAGUUUCUAGUACUCUACCAGUCUUGACGAUGGGAAGGAGAGUCAAGCAGAGGCAAUUCAGUCCAUUUCUAGCUUGGGCACUGGAUAGCGAGUGGAAGGCAAUCUGCUGCAAGU